rnacentral:rRNA from 1 species
AACGAACGCUGGCGGCGUGCCUAACACAUGCAAGUCGAACGGAAUUGAGGGGCUUGCUCUUCAAUUUAGUGGCGCACGGGUGAGUAACGCGUGGAUAAUCUGCCUGACGAUCUGGGAUAACAUCUCGAAAGGGGUGCUAAUACCGGAUAAGCCCACGGGAACUUCGGUUUUUGCGGGAAAAGGGGGGGACCUUUUGGCCUUCUGUCGUCAGAUGAGUCCGCUUACCAUUAGCUAGUUGGUAGGGUAAAGGCCUACCAAGGCUACGAAGGUUGUCGGGUUGGGGAGAAUGAGCGGCCACACUGGGACUGGGACACGGUCCAGACUCCUACGGGAGGCAGCAGUGGGGAAUUUUGCGCAAUGGGCGAAAGCCUGACGCAGCAACGCCGCGUGAGUGAUGAAGGCUUUCGGGUCGUAAAGCUCUGUCAGAGGGAAAGAAGUGUAUUGUGGCUAAUAUCCGCGAUACUUGACGGUACCCUCAAAGGAAGCACCGGCUAACUCCGUGCCAGCCGCCGCGGUAAGAC